rnacentral:rRNA from 1 species
GACGAACGCUGGCGGCGUGCUUAACACAUGCAAGUCGAACGGAAAGGCCCUGCUUUUGUGGGGUGCUCGAGUGGCGAACGGGUGAGUAACACGUGAGUAACCUGCCCUUGACUUUGGGAUAACUUCAGGAAACUGGGGCUAAUACCGGAUAGGAGCUCCUGCUGCAUGGUGGGGGUUGGAAAGUUUCGGCGGUUGGGGAUGGACUCGCGGCUUAUCAGCUUGUUGGUGGGGUAGUGGCUUACCAAGGCUUUGACGGGUAGCCGGCCUGAGAGGGUGACCGGCCACAUUGGGACUGAGAUACGGACCAGAGUCCAACGGGAGGCAACAGGGGGGAAUAUUGCACAAUGGGCGGAAGCCUGAUGCAGCAGCGCCGCGUGCGGGAUGACGGCCUUCGGGUUGUAAACCGCUUUCGCCUGUGACGAAGCGUGAGUGACGGUAAUGGGUAAAGAAGCACCGGCUAACUACGUG